rnacentral:rRNA from 1 species
UACGAAGGGGGGCUAGCGUUGCUCGGAAUUACUGGGCGUAAAGAGCUCGUAGGUGGUUUGUCGCGUUGUCCGUGAAAACUCACAACUCAAUUGUGGGCGUGCGGGCGAUACGGGCAGACUGGAGUACUGCAGGGGAGACUGGAAUUCCUGGUGUAGCGGUGGAAUGCGCAGAUAUCAGGAGGAACACCGGUGGCGAAGGCGGGUCUCUGGGCCGUAAGCUGACGCUGAGGAGCGAAAGCGUGGGGAGCGAACAGG